AGGAUGAACGCUGGCGGCGUGCCUAACACAUGCAAGUCGAACGUCCUGUCUCGCAAGAGGCAGGGAGUGGCGGACGGGUGAGUACCACGUGGGUCAUCUACCGUGAGGUGAGGAAUACCGGCGAGAAAUCGCCGACAAGACCGCAUAGCCUCGGUGCAAGCCGAGGAAAGCUCUCUCGAGAGAGGGAGCGCCACACGAGGAGCCUGCGCCCGAUUAGCUAGCUGGUGGAGUAACGGUUCACCAGGGCGACGAUCGGUAGCUGGUCUGAGAGGACGAUCAGCCACACUGGGAUUGAGAACGGCCCAGACUCCUACGGGGGGCAGCAGUGAGGAAUUUUCGUCAAUGGGGGCAACCCUGAACGAGCAACGCCGCGUGCAGGAAGAAGGUUUUCGGAUCGUAAACUGCUUUUCGUCGGGAAGAGAACGGACGGUACCCGAGGAAUCGAGCCCCGGCUAACUACGUGCCAGCAGCCGC
rnacentral:rRNA from 1 species